UGAGGCAUGAACCCUACCAUUUCAUUUUACUUUUUUUUCUUUCUAAUCAACGAAUUCUAUUCUGGCUCAACCAGUAGAGGACUUGGUAACCACUGGGACUAGCCCCCCCAGGUUCCUGUCUUUCUAGGGAGCCCCCCCAGGUUCCUGUCUUUCUAGGGAGCCCCCCAGGUUCCUGUCUUUCUAGGGAGCCCCCCCCAGGUUCCUGUCUUUCUAGGGAGCCCCCCCAGGUUCCCGUCUUUCUAGGGAGCCCCCCCAGGUUCCCGUCUUUCUAGGGAGCCCCCCCAGGUUCCCGUCUUUCUAGGGAGCCCCCCCAGGUUCCCGUCUUUCUAGGGAGCCCCCCCAGGUUCCCGUCUUUCUAGGGAGCCCCCCCAGGUUCCCGUCUUUCUAGGGAGCCCCCCCAGGUUCCCGUCUUUCUAGGGAGCCCCCCCAGGUUCCCGUCUUUCUAGGGAGCCCCCCCAGG